GCGAACAGACGAGGAGCUUGCUCCUCUGACGUUAGCGGCGGACGGGUGAGUAACACGUGGAUAACCUACCUAUAAGACUGGGAUAACUUCGGGAAACCGGAGCUAAUACCGGAUAAUAUAUUGAACCGCAUGGUUCAAUAGUGAAAGACGGUUUUGCUGUCACUUAUAGAUGGAUCCGCGCCGCAUUAGCUAGUUGGUAAGGUAACGGCUUACCAAGGCAACGAUGCGUAGCCGACCUGAGAGGGUGAUCGGCCACACUGGAACUGAGACACGGUCCAGACUCCUACGGGAGGCAGCAGUAGGGAAUCUUCCGCAAUGGGCGAAAGCCUGACGGAGCAACGCCGCGUGAGUGAUGAAGGUCUUCGGAUCGUAAAACUCUGUUAUUAGGGAAGAACAAAUGUGUAAGUAACUAUGCACGUCUUGACGGUACCUAAUCAGAAAGCCACGGCUAACUACGUGCCAGCAGCCGCGGUAAUACGUAGGUGGCAAGCGUUAUCCGGAAUUAUUGGGCGUAAAGCGCGCGUAGGCGGUUUUUUAAGUCUGAUGUGAAAGCCCACGGCUCAACCGUGGAGGGUCAUUGGAAACUGGAAAACUUGAGUGCAGAAGAGGAAAGUGGAAUUCCAUGUGUAGCGGUGAAAUGCGCAGAGAUAUGGAGGAACACCAGUGGCGAAGGCGACUUUCUGGUCUGUAACUGACGCUGAUGUGCGAAAGCGUGGGGAUCAAACAGGAUUAGAUANCCUGGUAGUCCACGCCGUAAACGAUGAGUGCUAAGUGUUAGGGGGUUUCCGC
rnacentral:rRNA from 1 species